GGGCCCGCACAAGCGGUGGAGUAUGUGGUUUAAUUCGAUGCAACGCGAAGAACCUUACCAGGGCUUGACAUCCUGCGAACCUCUGGGAAACCGGAGGGUGCCUUCGGGAACGCAGUGACAGGUGGUGCAUGGCUGUCGUCAGCUCGUGUCGUGAGAUGUUGGGUUAAGUCCCGCAACGAGCGCAACCCACGUCUUUAGUUGCCAGCAUUUAGUUGGGCACUCUAAAAGACUGCCGGUUAUAAACCGGAGGAAGGUGGGGAUGACGUCAAGUCAGCAUGCCCCUUACACCCUGGGCUACACACGUGCUACAUUGGGCGAGACAAUGAGAUGCAAUCUGUGAAGACUAGCUAAUCUAUAAACUCGUUCUA
rnacentral:rRNA from 1 species